GUGCUCACUUCGGCAGCACAUAUACUAAAAUUGGAACGACACAGAGAAGAUUAGCAUGGCCCCUGUGCAAGGAUGACACACGCAUUCAUGAAGUGUUCCAUAAAUAA
rnacentral:snRNA from 1 species